GUGGGAUGCAGCGCCUACAUCCCCAGUGCAUAGGGAUGCACACAGUGGCCUCGCUGGGUGACAGUUCUUUGGGUGACAGUUCUUUUUGGUUCAGCAGGGCUGUGGCUGCAGGGGUCUCUUGAGGGUGCUCCAUGUGCUCACAAGGCAUCCAUGGCCUUGGCAGCCACACCUCCACCACACUGGAGGUACCCAAGGAGACUCAUGUGGCUUGUUUGUUUUGCAGGGCUGGGAUGGAGCCACCACAGGCCCCUCGGCCACCUCAGCCCACCCACCCCCUCACUGCUGCUGCUGGACCAGCCCAUCACAUGGACAGAUACCCAAAGGCCAUUGGAGUCACCUCAGCUCUAGCAUCUGCAUCCCCCCAGCUUUGGAGCAGGGUGGGCUGCCGUCCUCUGAGGCCGUGUGACAGGGAACUGGCA
rnacentral:lncRNA from 1 species